AUGACACUGGCCGUCGCCAUUUUGAAUUUGAAAAAGAGGUGUCAGGAGACAAAGAAAAAAGAUGUGGAGGAGAACAUCUAUAUUGAGAUGCAUGAGGAUUUACAGACCAAACGGUCACAGGAGGAGACCAAGACCUACCAAGACACCUCCCGUUACGAUCUAUUGCACCCGCUUCAAGCUCGGAUAAAGCGAAGACUACGCAAUUAUUUACCAUAUUCACUGAUCAUAUUUACCAAUCAAUUAUGGUUUAUUGAGGAGAUUAUGGUAUAGUAUUUUGAGGUAUAUAUUUCUUCAUACAAAUAGAUAAUAGUAGAGACUACAGGAGAGAAACAGUGCUAUUUUUUUUAACCUGUAUUUUGAUAUUGUAUCGUUCCCUUAUUUACAUUACUUUAGUAUCGUACUGGACCACUAGGUGGAAGCAUUACCGUAUGAUAAAGAAACAGUGUUCAUCUGUGACAAUUGCUGUGAAGAAACAUCUCAGGAUUACUGUAAUUACAUCAAUAGUUGUUUCCAAACAUAUGGACACACUUGGACAACUGUAAAUUAUUCCAUUUCUAAUUUUCAAACCAAGCUGUUCUGGCCAUUAUUGUCAAAUGUAUGUAUUUCGUCUUCAAAAUGAACGUCGUCUAUUCUAAUGAUCGUCGUUACAUAGUUCAAAAUGUUUAAGUCAGCAGUCUAGUUUCAUUUGAAGUGAUGUUAGAAUGAAGAAUGUAAAUACAUGUAAAUAUUCUUACUAAAAGUACUCAAAGUGUCAAACAGACUACAUAUGCGUACAUAUCGUUUGUAUAUUUGUACAGUGUGAAUUGCAAUGUCAGCUUGGUGAAUUGUUAUUAUUUUUUAAACUUCAUCUUUGCCGAUUUUAUCAUUCAUGCCAUUGCUGUCGGUAAUCCUGAAGAAAACUAUUCAAAGCAGUGUAGCAACAGAUUUUAUUGUGGAAUUUAGUAAAUAAGUACAAGGACUUGCAAAAUUUAAAAAAUACGUUUUGAGAAGACAGCAAUAAUCAAUGGUUGUAUAGCUAAUUACAAUUGGAGGGUAAUUUUUCAUUAAAUAACUAUGUAAAUAAUUAGUAGCUUAACUAUUUACACAUCAAUCGUCAUAAUAAAAGGCAAUU